rnacentral:guide_RNA from 1 species
AAAACAACAAUAAGGUAUAUCGUAAGCUGUAUAUGAGAUAUAAU